UCCUACAGUGACAUUUCCCAAAGCAUGUUCUUCAAGAUGUUAAUAUUCUAUUUAAAUGAAAGAAAAAGGAAGAAAGAAAAAGAAAGGAAGAAAAGAAGAAGGAAGAAAAAGAAGGGAGGGAGAAGAAAGGAAAGAAAAAGAAAAGAUAAACUCGUAAGUUUGGAAAGCACUUUCAUUACAGAAAGAUUUAUCAGACUAUUAUGUUAAUAUCCAUGUGACACUAAGAAAGAAAUCAUCUGUUGGAGAUAAAUAUAGAAUAGUUUCAAAAUCUGCUUUCUCUACAUCAGAGUGUCUGGGUUUAAGUGACCUUUCCCAAUGUUCUAUGUUCUUUGUCAAAUGACUUCGUUUCUCUGAUUUUAGUUCCCUGAUCUGCAAAACUAGAUAAUGAUUAUGACCUCUGAAAUGGCCUGCAACUAUCCUCUCACACUGUGUUCACACAGUGUCUCUUCCCCCAUGAGAAAGGACUGACUUGUGUAGCCCACAGGAUGUUGCAGAGUUGUAUUCAAAGCUGAGUCAUGAAAGACACUGUAUCUCCUCCUUGCUCUGUCUUGGAUAACUUGCUCUGGAGGAAGCCAACUGCCAUGUCAUGAGGACCCUCUAAGAGCCCAUUAGAAUGCCCAUGUAGAGAAAAAACCUUCAACCAAUAACCAGCACCAACAUGGCAGCCACGUGAGCAAGCCAACUGGGAAGUGCAUCCUAAGGACAUAAUCAAGCCCUCAGAGGACCUCAGCUAAGGCUGAUGACCUGACUGCAGCUAAAUGAGAGAUAUUGAGUCUGAACUCCCAGGCAAGAUGCUACCAAACUCUUGACCUAUAGAAAAGCAUGAGCCCAAAGAGAAGCCAUCCACUUUACCAGGCAUGAGUGGAAGAAGCAGCAACAAAUUCUAAUACUUGCAGGAAAACUGAGUGUGUUGGAGUUUUUGAGAGAAAAAAUUCUCACGGCUCCACAGUAGCAUUGAAAACUAACAGACCACAGGCCGGGCACCGUGGCUCACGCCUGUAAUCCCAGCACUCUGGGAGUCCGAGGUGAGUGGAUCACAAGAGACAGAGUCUUGCUCUGACCAGGCUGAAGUGCAGUGGCAUGAUCUUGGCUCACUGCAACCUCCGCCUCCCAGGUUCAAGUAAUUUCCCUGCCUCAGCCUCCUGAGUAGCUGGGACUACAGGUGUGUGCCACCACACCCAACUGAUUUUUUUUUUUUUUUUUUUUUUUUUUGUAUUUUAGUGGAGACAGGGUUUCACCAUGUUGGCCAGGAUGGUCUCAAUCUCCUGACCUCGUGAUCCACCCACCUUGGCCUCCCAAAGUGCUGGGAUUACAGGCGUGAGCCACUGCACCUGGCUGUGUAUUCUAAUCUUAUGGGUGAAUAGCAUCUGAUAUGAACAGAAUAUCUUUGAAACUUGUAAGCCAAACUUGCAGCUUUGAGGGAGAUAAAGAAACCAUUUACCAAACAAUAUGGAAAACACUAAAAUCCCCAAAGAAAGGGAAAAUUAAAUGUAACUUUUACUAGGAAUUUACCAUAUUAACAUGUUUAGCAUCCUACCUGGCACAUAAGUGGCCAAUGAAUGAUAACCAAAAGAAAAAACAAUAAUGUUAAGUGCGGCUACUGGCUCUAUUUUACAAAUAAAGAUGUUGAAACUCAAA